rnacentral:rRNA from 1 species
UACGAAGGGGGCUAGCGUUGCUCGGAAUCACUGGGCGUAAAGCGCACGUAGGCGGAUCGUUAAGUCAGGGGUGAAAUCCUGGAGCUCAACUCCAGAACUGCCUUUGAUACUGGCGAUCUUGAGUUCGGGAGAGGUGAGUGGAACUGCGAGUGUAGAGGUGAAAUUCGUAGAUAUUCGCAAAGAACACCAGUGGCGAAGGCGGCUCACUGGCCCGAUACUGACGCUGAGGUGCGAAAGCGUGGGGAGCAAACAGG